rnacentral:ribozyme from 1 species
CCGCCUUCGUCGGCGACACGCUGCGCGUGUCGCGCGAGGAGAAUGGGGCGCUCUCGGUCUACGCCAAGACCGAGAAUGGCGCCGUGCAGGAAGAGAUAGCGAAGCUGCUCGCGACUCCGAUCGCCGUCGAAGACGAAGCGGGCGGCCAAGGGGUAGACGACCGGCCGAUGUGGCAGAAGCGGCUUGACGAGGAGCGGCGUGCCGACGAUGACCGGCUCGAGUCCGGCAUCCCGUAGUUGGAGUCGAGCUG